rnacentral:snRNA from 1 species
GUGCUUGCUUCGGCAGCACAUCUACUAAAAAUUGGAACCGUGCAGAGAAGAUUAGCAUGGCCCCUGUACGAGGAUGACACACAAAUUCCCUGAAGCGUUCCAUAUUUUU